UUCCGGUUGAUCCNGCCGGACCUGACUGCUAUCGGAUUGAUACUAAGCCAUGCGAGUCAUUGUAGCAAUACAAGGCAGACGGCUCAGUAACGCGUAGUCAACCUACCCUAUGGACGGGAAUAACCUCGGGAAACUGAGUAUAAUGCCCGAUAGAACACUAUACCUGGAAUGGUUUGUGUUUCAAAUGAUUUAUUGCCAUAGGAUGGGACUGCGGCCUAUCAAUUUGUUGGUGAGGUAAUGGCCCACCAAGACUAUUACAGGUACGGGCUCUGGGAGGAGUGGCCCGGAGAUGGGUACUGAGACACGGACCCAGGCCCUAUGGGGCGCAGCAGGCGAGAAAACUUUGCAAUGUGCGAAAGCACGACAAGGUUAAUCCGAGUGGUUUCUGCUAAAGGAACCUUUUGUUAGUCCUAGAAACACUAACGAAUAAGGGGUGGGCAAGUUCUGGUGUCAGCCGCCGCGGUAAAACCAGCACCUCAAGUGGUCAGGAUGAUUAUUGGGCCUAAAGCAUCCGUAGCCGGCUCAGUAAGUUUUCGGUUAAAUCUGUACGCUCAACGUACAGGCCGCCGGGAAUACUGCAGAGCUAGGGAGUGGGAGAGGUAGACGGUACUCGGGAGGAAGUGGUAAAAUGCUUUGAUCUUUCGAUGACCACCUGUGGCGAAGGCGGUCUACCAGAACACGUCCGACGGUGAGGGAUGAAAGCUGGGGGAGCAAACCGGAUUAGAUACCCGGGUAGUCCCAGCUGUAAACUAUGCAAACUCAGUGAUGCAUUGGCUUGUGGCCAAUGCAGUGUUGCAGGGAAGCCGUUAAGUUUGCCGCCUGGGAAGUACGUACGCAAGUAUGAAACUUAAAGGAAUUGGCGGGGGAGCACCACAAGGGGUGAAGCCUGCGGUUCAAUUGGAUUCAACGCCGG
rnacentral:rRNA from 1 species